rnacentral:rRNA from 1 species
UAGAUACCCUGGUAGUCCACGCCGUAAACGAUGUCUAUUUGGAGGUUGUGCCCUUGAGGCGUGGCUUCCGGAGCUAACGCGUUAAAUAGACCGCCUGGGGAGUACGGCCGCAAGGUUAAAACUCAAAUGAAUUGACGGGGGCCCGCACAAGCGGUGGAGCAUGUGGUUUAAUUCGAUGCAACGCGAAGAACCUUACCUGGUCUUGACAUCCACAGAACUUUGCAGAGAUGCGAAGGUGCCUUCGGGAACUGUGAGACAGGUGCUGCAUGGCUGUCGUCAGCUCGUGUUGUGAAAUGUUGGGUUAAGUCCCGCAACGAGCGCAACCCUUAUCCUUUGUUGCCAGCGGUCCGGCCGGGAACUCAAAGGAGACUGCCAGUGAUAAACUGGAGGAAGGUGGGGAUGACGUCAAGUCAUCAUGGCCCUUACGACCAGGGCUACACACGUGCUACAAUGGCAUAUACAAAGAGAAGCGACCUCGCGAGAGCAAGCGGACCUCAUAAAGUAUGUCGUAGUCCGGAUUGGAGUCUGCAACUCGACUCCAUGAAGUCGGAAUCGCUAGUAAUCGUGGAUCAGAAUGCCACGGUGAAUACGUUCCCGGGCCUUGUACACACCGCCCGUCACACCAUGGGAGUGGGUUGCAAAAGAAGUAGGUAGCUUAACCUUCGGGAGGGCGCUUACCACUUUGUGAUUCAUGACUGGGGUGAAGUCGUACAAAGGGAAACCA